rnacentral:rRNA from 1 species
AGGUAGUGACAAGAAAUAACAAUACGGGGCUUUACGCCUUGUAAUUGGAAUGAUGGGAAUCUAAACCCCUUCCAGAGUAUCAAUUGGAGGGCAAGUCUGGUGCCAGCAGCCGCGGUAAUUCCAGCUCCAAUAGCGUAUAUUAAAGUUGUUGCAGUUAAAAAGCUCGUAGUUGUACUUCUGUCGCUUUCUUUUGCUUGCACUUCGGUGUUUUGCUUUAGUUGCGGCCUUUUCUGGUUCUUCGUUGGUUUCCUUCGUUGUUCCAGUUUUUUACUUUGAGAAAAUUAGAGUGUUUCAAGCAGGCUUUUGCCUUGAAUACUACAGCAUGGAAUAAUAAAGUAGGACUUUGGUUCUAUUUUGUUGGUUUUGCGAGCCAAAGUAAUGGUUAAUAGGAACA